UUUUAACACCAAAAGAUAAGAAUCAAAGCAAAUUUAAGUUGCAAUUGUUUCUUACACAAACCAGACCUAAAAUAAAUGGUUUACAUAUAUCCUCGACAAAAGUAAAGCUUCCGUUACAUGUCUUUUAACUGUACCCAUCUUUUCUAUAGGUGGAUCCGACUUGGUUGUGCCUUCGUCAUCCUCGCCUCGCCGUACGGUUCGUCGUUAUCGAUCUUCUUGUUGUUUCGGAAAGCAGCGCAGCCGAUGA